rnacentral:tRNA from 1 species
AGAGUAGAAGUUUACAAAUAUUUGACCUGCAUUCAAAAGAAGGCUAAUUAAGCCCUACUUUA